rnacentral:rRNA from 1 species
GAUGAACGCUGGCGGCGUGCCUAAUACAUGCAAGUCGAGCGAACAGACGAGGAGCUUGCUCCUCUGACGUUAGCGGCGGACGGGUGAGUAACACGUGGAUAACCUACCUAUAAGACUGGGAUAACUUCGGGAAACCGGAGCUAAUACCGGAUAAUAUAUUGAACCGCAUGGUUCAAUAGUGAAAGACGGUUUUGCUGUCACUUAUAGAUGGAUCCGCGCCGCAUUAGCUAGUUGGUAAGGUAACGGCUUACCAAGGCGACGAUGCGUAGCCGACCUGAGAGGGUGAUCGGCCACACUGGAACUGAGACACGGUCCAGGCUCCUACGGGAGGCAGCAGUAGGGAAUCUUACGCAAUGGGCGAAAGCCUGACGGAGCGGCGCCGCGUGAGUGAUGAAGGUCUUCGGAUCGUAAAACUCUGUUAUUAGGGAAGAACAAAUGUGUAAGUAACUAUGCACGUCUUGACGGUACCUAAUCAGAAGGCCACGGCUAACUACGUG